rnacentral:rRNA from 1 species
UACAGAGGGUGCGAGCGUUAAUCGGAAUUACUGGGCGUAAAGCGCACGUAGGCGGCUUGGUAAGUCUGUCGUGAAAUCCUGAGGCUCAACCUCGGGCGUGCGAUGGAUACUGCCGGGCUAGAGGGUGGUAGAGGCGAGUGGAAUUCCCGGUGUAGCGGUGAAAUGCGCAGAUAUCAGGAGGAACACCGGUGGCGAAGGCGGGUCUCUGGGCCGUAACUGACGCUGAGGAGCGAAAGCGUGGGGAGCGAACAGG